rnacentral:rRNA from 1 species
GGGCUCUGAUUGCUAUUGCACCACAUGUGUUUUUCUUUGAAACAAACUUGCUUUGGCGGUGGGCCCAGCCUGCCGCCAGAGGUCUAAACUUACAACCAAUUUUUUAUCAACUUGUCACACCAGAUUAUUACUAAUAGUCAAAACUUUCAACAACGGAUCUCUUGGUUCUCGCAUCGAUGAAGAACGCAGCGAAAUGCGAUACGUAAUAUGAAUUGCAGAUAUUCGUGAAUCAUCGAAUCUUUGAACGCACAUUGCGCCCUCUGGUAUUCCGGAGGGCAUGCCUGUUUGAGCGUCGUUUCUCCCUCAAACCGCUGGGUUUGGUGUUGAGCAAUACGACUUGGGUUUGCUUGAAAGACGGUAGUGGUAAGGCGGGAUCGCUUUGACAAUGGCUUAGGUCUAACCAAAAACAUUGCUUGCGGCGGUAACGUCUACCACGUAUAUCUUCAAACUUUGACCUCAAAUCAGGUAGGACUACCCGCUGAACUUAAGCAUAUCAAUAAGCGGAGGAA